rnacentral:tRNA from 1 species
GCCAGGGUUCUGAAUUAAACUAUUCUUUGU